CAUGAAAUCAUAAUGUAUUCUCACCCAUUUAGCCUUGAUUGCACCGGCUGUAUUAGGAAUAACCUGAAUCUGUACCCUUUUAGGAUGAUUAACAAGCAAGUCAACUUCUACUUCUACUCUAGCACAACUUGGCCUUGUCUUAUUCUUAGUAGCCAUAUCCAACUUCAAAGGCUUCCCUAUUGCCGCUGCCAUAGAAAAGAGCUGAGAUUGGCCAAAAUAAUUAGGUGCUAGGGUUGGAAACGAGAUCCAUGCAAUGGUUAUAGUAGUCUCUUCCUCAGGAUAAAACCAAGGAUCCCACUUCAAUGUACGCAUAGGAUAAUACCAUUGUUGCUCGGUGGCCUAAGAGGCCAUGAAAGGCCGAAAAGAGCUCAAAGCUCCAUGGGAGCCGUCAAGGUUUUUUCUUUAUAUUUCUAACUUUGCCACGGGAAACAACGCCUUAAGUUUAAACACUUCCAUUAUGCUUGUCACAAUUAUUGUUUUAGUUGCGUUUUAAAAUAGACUUCGAUUCUUGGUUAAUGCAUCCCGAAACUUUUCUAAUUAAUUUUUCUUAUACUCUUGCAGCCUCGAUGAUUUUGCUGGAUAACACCUAAUGAAUUUAUUAGAUUGCUUUUGGGGUUUUGAAGAUUGAAUUUGACAAGUUAAGAUGGAAGUUUAGAAGAUGCACAAGCUCAUUAUUUUGCUAGGAAUGUUAUGCACUCGCUAUCAUAGUCUAGCUCGAGUGUUAGCAAUGUUUUUUUGUUAAGGUGUCGAGCAAAUAUUGAAACUAACAUCAUGGGAUGUUAACAAUUUUACUGUAAUUAAUAACUCUAUCUUCCUCUUUAUAUAUAUAACGCUUUUGUAUCUA